AGUGAACGCUGGCGGUAGGCCUAACACAUGCAAGUCGAACGGCAGCACAGUAAGAGCUUGCUCUUACGGGUGGCGAGUGGCGGACGGGUGAGGAAUACAUCGGAAUCUACUUUUUCGUGGGGGAUAACGUAGGGAAACUUACGCUAAUACCGCAUACGCCCUACGGGUGAAAGCAGGGGAUCUUCUGACCUUGCGCGAUUGAAUGAGCCGAUGUCGGAUUACCUAGUUGGCGGGGUAAAGGCCCACCAAGGCGACGAUCCGUAGCUGGUCUGAGAGGAUGAUCAGCCACACUGGAACUGAGACACGGUCCAGACUCCUACGGGAGGCAGCAGUGGGGAAUAUUGGACAAUGGGCGCAAGCCUGAUCCAGCCAUACCGCGUGGGUGAAGAAGGCCUUCGGGUUGUAAAGCCCUUUUGUUGGGAAAGAAAAGCAGCAGGUUAAUACCCCGCUGUUCUGACGGUACCCAAAGAAUAAGCACCGGCUAACUUCGUG
rnacentral:rRNA from 1 species